AGCCCAGCUACCAGCUCAGGCUGAGAAGAUCCCGGCGCUUGCUGAGCUGAAUCAUCUGGGGCAACUGGAGCCGAGGAGUCUUGAGGAUCAGGAGGAUCCCAGCGAGUACUGCUAUGGUGGUUAUCACCCAGUACAAGUGGGAGACAUUUUCAACAAAAGAUAUCAAGUGGUGUCCAAACUGGGUUGGGGCUUUUUCUCUACCGUUU